CCUACGGGAGGCAGCAGUGGGGAAUCUUGCGCAAUGGGCGAAAGCCUGACGCAGCCAUGCCGCGUGAAUGAUGAAGGUCUUAGGAUUGUAAAAUUCUUUCACCGGGGACGAUAAUGACGGUACCCGGAGAAGAAGCCCCGGCUAACUUCGUGCCAGCAGCCGCGGUAAUACGAAGGGGGCUAGCGUUGCUCGGAAUUACUGGGCGUAAAGGGAGCGUAGGCGGAUAGUUUAGUCAGAGGUGAAAGCCCAGGGCUCAACCUUGGAAUUGCCUUUGAUACUGGCUAUCUUGAGUGUGGGAGAGGUUAGCGGAACUCCGAGUGUAGAGGUGAAAUUCGUAGAUAUUCGGAAGAACACCAGUGGCGAAGGCGGCUAACUGGCCCAUUACUGACGCUGAGGCUCGAAAGCGUGGGGAGCAAACAGGAUUAGAUACCCUGGUAGUCCACGCCGUAAACGAUGAGUGCUGGUUGUCGGCAUGCAUGCAUGUCGGUGACGCAGCUAACGCAUUAAGCACUCCGCCUGGGGAGUACGGUCGCAAGAUUAAAACUUAAAGGAAUUGACGG
rnacentral:rRNA from 1 species